AGUCUUGCUUAUCAGGCAAGACUUAUAACUAUAUAAAAGGUAGUCUAGUUGCUCUCCAUAAAACCCUCGGAGGAGACUGUGCGCCUCCUCUACGGAUCCUGUCUGGAGUCUAGUU